ensembl:misc_RNA Metazoa_SRP Metazoan signal recognition particle RNA
GCUUGGCUUGGUGGCACAGGCCUAUAGUCCUAGCUACUAGUAAAGCUGAAGCGGGAUAAUCACUUGAACCCAGGAGUUCUUGGCUGUAGUAUGCUGUGAGCAUUGGGUGUCCUUAGUUUGGCAUCAAUAUGGUGACCCCACAGGAGCCAGGGACCACCAUAUUACCUAAGGAUGAGUGAAGCGGCCCAGAUCAGAAAUGGAGCAAGUCAAAACUCCCAUGCUUAUCAGUAAUGGGAUCAUGCUUGUGAAUAACACUGUACUCCAGCUUGGGCAACAUAGCAAGACCCUAACUCU